rnacentral:rRNA from 1 species
GAUGAACGCUGGCGGCGUGCCUAAUACAUGCAAGUCGAGCGAACAGACGAGGAGCUUGCUCCUCUGACGUUAGCGGCGGACGGGUGAGUAACACGUGGAUAACCUACCUAUAAGACUGGGAUAACUUCGGGAAACCGGAGCUAAUACCGGAUAAUAUAUUGAACCGCAUGGUUCAAUAGUGAAAGACGGUUUUGCUGUCACUUAUAGAUGGAUCCGCGCCGCAUUAGCUAGUUGGUAAGGGAACGGCUUACCAAGGCAACGAUGCGUAGCCGACCUGAGAGGGUGAUCGGCCACACUGGAACUGAGACACGGUCCAGACUCUUACGGGAGGCAGCAGUAGGGAAUCUUCCGCAAUGGGCGAAAGCCUGACGGAGCAACGCCGCGUGAGUGAUGAAGGUCUUCGGAUCGUAAAACUCUGUUAUUAGGGAAGAACAAAUGUGUAAGUAACUAUGCACGUCUUGACGGUACCUAAUCAGAAAGCCACGGCUAACUACGUG